GAUGAAGAACGCAGCGAAAUGCGAUACGUAAUGUGAAUUGCAAAUUCAGUGAAUCAUCGAGUCUUUGAACGCACAUUGCGCCCCCUGGUAUUCCGAGGGGCAUGCCUGUCCGAGCGUCAUUGCUGCCCUCAAGCACGGCUUGUGUGUUGGGCCCCGUCCUCCGAUCCCGGGGGACGGGCCCGAAAGGCAGCGGCGGCACCGCGUCCGGUCCUCGAGCGUAUGGGGCUUUGUCACCCGCUCUGUAGGCCCGGCCGGCGCUUGCCGAUCAACCCAAAUUUUUUAUCCAGGUUGACCUCGGAUCAGGUAGGGAUACCCGCUGAACUUAAGCAUAUCAAUAAGCGGAGGA
rnacentral:misc_RNA from 1 species